CAGUAGCCACGGGAAUACGUAGGUGGCAAGCGUUGUCCGGAAUUAUUGGGCGUAAAGGGCUCGCAGGCGGUUUCUUAAGUCUGAUGUGAAAGCCCCCGGCUCAACCGGGGAGGGUCAUUGGAAACUGGGAAACUUGAGUGCAGAAGAGGAGAGUGGAAUUCCACGUGUAGCGGUGAAAUGCGUAGAGAUGUGGAGGAACGCCAGUGGCGAAGGCGACUCUCUGGUCUGUAACUGACUCUGAGGAGCGAAAGCGUGGGGAGCGAACAGGAUUAGAUACCCGGGUAGUCCCUGUCUCUUAUAC
rnacentral:rRNA from 1 species